rnacentral:rRNA from 1 species
GAUGAACGCUGGCGGCGUGCUUAACACAUGCAAGUCGAACGAUGAAGCCCAGCUUGCCGGGUGGAUUAGUGGCGAACGGGUGAGUAACACGUGAGUAACCUGCCCUUAACUCUGGGAUAAGCCUGGGAAACUGGGUCUAAUACCGGAUAGGAGCGCCUACCGCAUGGUGGGUGUUGGAAAGAUUUAUCGGUUUUGGAUGGACUCGCGGCCUAUCAGCUUGUUGGUGAGGUAAUGGCUCACCAAGGCGACGACGGGUAGCCGGCCUGAGAGGGUGACCGGCCACACUGGGACUGAGACACGGCCCAGACUCCUACGGGAGGCAGCAGUGGGGAAUAUUGCACAAUGGGCGAAAGCCUGAUGCAGCGACGCCGCGUGAGGGAUGACGGCCUUCGGGUUGUAAACCUCUUUCAGUAGGGAAGAAGCGAAAGUGACGGUACCUGCAGAAGAAGCACCGGCUAACUACGUG